GACCUCUGACGUGAUUUUCAGAUACAAAUCUACAAGGAUACUACAGAGGCCAUAUCCAGGUUAGCAUUGUCUGUUUCUCUGUCAGAACAAAUGCCUUUACCCACAGUUAUCAGAAAACCUCGCUCCACGUUUGGAGUGGCUUUUGCUGUUUGGUUGGUGCGUUGGUUUAACAAGGUCCCUGAGGUCCACUUUCACUUCAUCUCUCUGCUUUGCUGUCCCCAGGAGAUGCUUCAUUUUGUGGCCUCUUCCCUUCAGGGUUAUACAACGUGGCCUGCAGCUUCAUCAUUCCCAUUUGAACUGGGAGAGAAAGGCUUCCUGUGACUUUCCCAGAAGAGCCAGGAAGACAUUUUCUAGGAAUCCUCUGCUCCUCGUAUCCUUCAGUCUGAGUGGUGGAUGGAGAUAUCAUUUUACUGAUAAAAGAGCCGGUGACCUUCGAGGACGUGGCUGUGGCCUUCACGGAGGAGGAGCUGGGGCUGCUGGAUGCCUCCCAGAGGCAGCUGUACCGGGAUGUGAUGCUGGAGAACUUCUGGAACCUGCUCUCUGUGGGACAACCACCUUUCAAACCUGGUAAGAUAUCUCAUUUGGAACAAGACAGAGAGACCUGGGUGACCGAGAGAGAAGCUCCAAGAGGUGCACAUCCA
rnacentral:lncRNA from 1 species